AAAGUUAAACGGCCGCGGUAUCCUGACCGUGCAAAGGUAGCAUAAUCAUUUGUUCCUUAAUUAGGGACUAGUAUGAAUGGCUAAACGAGGGUUUAACUGUCUCUUAUUCUGUAUCAGUGAAAUUGACCUUCCAGUGAAGAGGCUGGAAUUUUUUAAUAAGACGAGAAGACCCUAUGGAGCUUAAAUCAAUUAACUUAAUUAUUAAUUUUAACAGCCCAUUGGCUUAAAAACAAAAAUAUAAGUUAAAAAUUUCGGUUGGGGUGACCUCGGAGAAUAAAAAAUCCUCCGAAUGAUUUUAGCACAGACCAACAAGUCAAAGCAACCUCUAAAAUCUUAUUGACCCAAAAAUCUUUGAUCAACGGACCAAGUUACCCUAGGGAUAACAGCGCAAUCCUAUUUGAGAGUUCAUAUCGACAAUUAGGGUUUACGACCUCGAUGUUGGAUCAGGACAUCCCAA
rnacentral:rRNA from 1 species